UUAAGCUUCAAGGAAGCCAUUGACACUUGGGUUUUUACCAGAGCCCUGGGUAGGAACUACUGGUGAACCUGAUUAUGAAUUUGUUCAAUGUCUAAGGAUUUCUCAAAUAUCAAGGUUUUCUUUGUAAUUUCAUUUAUAAGAUUUGCCACUUCCCAGACUGUGAGAAGUCAAAAUUUUAGAAGGACAUUAUUCUAGAUCAACAAAUGCAUGGAUAUUGGUUUUAAAUGUAGUAAGUAUAAAAGUAACAGUACACAGCAUGCAAAGCCAAGAUUUUACUGUUCUGUCAGGGGAUUCAGAUUGGAAACAUCCAUCAACUCUACAGUACAAUAGCUCAUGGCAGCAUUUCAUCCCAUCAGCCUUACCCAGAAGAAGAGAGAAGCUAAGAGCCAUUCUUGCCUAUUAGUGGGGGCAAUUGAAAGCCUGUCAAUAUUUCUAUUCAAUGUUAAGAGUCAAAUGUCAAAAGUUUUCAGGAGUUCCGUUUGCUGAGGCAUUUGAGCCUUUUUUCCCCUUAAUUAAAAAGGGAAAGAAACCAUCCAGCAUUUAUACCACUUUUAUUUGACUGUACAAAUUUCUUUUAUUCUAUCAAUGGGGAAUUUUUUUUUCAAAAAAAACAAAUAUGUUAAUACCGCUGAUACAGAAGUUAAGAAAUGAAAGGGGAAGGCCAAAACUGAGGCAAACUGAACUAUCUUCAAUUCUGGAAUUUUAAAAAUUAUCUUAAUAAAAUGAGAAUUCAGAAAGAAAAGAGAAAAUGAAGCACUGCAACAAUAAU